GGGGUGGUAGUGUAAUGGUAUCACAACACGUUGUGGCCGUGUUAAUCCGAGGUAGGUAAUUUGGGAGGUUGAGUCCAAAAUCAGGCUAACGUUCCUAAGUUCGAUUCUCGGCUACCCCA